rnacentral:rRNA from 1 species
GACGAACGCUGGCGGCGUGCUUAACACAUGCAAGUCGAGCGGUAAGGCCCUUUCGGGGGUACACGAGUGGCGCACGGGUGAGUAAAACGUGAGUAACCUGCCCACAACUUUGGGAUAACGCUAGGAAACUGGUGCCAAUACUGGAUAUGUGCUCCUGCUGCAUGGUGGGGGUUGGUAAGCUCCGGCGGUUGUGGAUGGACUCGCGGCCUAUCAGCUUGUUGGUGGGGUAGUGGCCUACCAAGGCGGCGACGUGUAGCGGGCCUGAGAGGGUGAUCGGCCAUCUUGGGUCUGACGUACGGCCCCGGUGCCUACGGUUGGCAGCUGGGCGGAAUAUUGCUCAAUGCGUGCAAGCCGUAUGCAGCAGGUCCGCGUGCUGGAUAACGCCCUUCGGUGUGUAAACCGCUUGCAGCAGGGACGAUGCUUUUUGUGACGUUACCUACAGAAGAAGCACCGGCUAACUUCGUG